CCCCGGUGGUCUGCCCGGAAAGCUAUGUACGGGACUGGGCCUUGUGAUUAGUCGCAUUUGGUGCGUCUCGCACGAAUUCCUUUCCCCGUCUUGGUGGGCGAAGAGCAAGGUGAGCAGCAAGAACAGCACCGGCGUCGGGGCCGCUUCCUGUUCCGGCUGGCGCUGCUCAUGGCGAAUCUCAGAGCGAAGACGGAGGCGGCGUUGGACUCUGGAACGAUCUCAUCGGCAACGGGUUCAGAGGCGUGCGAGCCGCCGUUUGUUUUGGGCGAGGGCGGUGACGCUUUGCCCGAUUCGGCCGUAGUCUCGCCGGAUUCGGCCGUCGAAGCUCCCUCGCCGGACAUUCGUCGGUUGGAUCGAGGGGUGGGCUUGCUGAUGUCCAGUCCUCCGGGGCUUCCUGCAAGAGCUUCAGUGCUGGUGGCGGAGAUGUGGCGUCCGCAAACCCCGGGUGCGGGACUCCUGCCGUCUUCUCGCGCACAUCCGCCGAGUCCAGCCGCCGCAGUGGCUCUUCGGGUUCCUGCACGACAUUCAGUUCUGGGGGCGUGGUCGUGCCGUCGGCGCGAGACUGCGACGAUACGCCGGCCGUCGUCUCGAGCUCGGUCGUGCAGUCCUUAGCCCAAAACGGGCCGGGUUCGGGGAACACCACCAUCCGCGUUGGCUGGAAGCGCAGCUAGCUACUGAUUUUCUGCCGUUUACGCCAAUUGUGCAUUUUCCUGUUCUCAGUCGUGCGAGCAAGUACUGAAAUAUUCAUUAGACUUGUGAAUUUGGGUAGGGCUCUGGAUAAAGACUGGAGGAAACAACAGAAAUCUGAAUCAACCCUUCCCAACAAGUUCGUAGAUGUUUUGCUUAAGCCCUAACCAGUGGUUGGUCAGCAAAAAAAUACCCGUGCCACUGCUGUAGUAUGUCCCUGGUUAAUUUUCAGUGACAAAAAGAGCUUGAAUUGCUAGUAAUAAGAAGCACCGUAAUUGCGUGAUUAAGUUCUUUC